GUUUAUUAAGAAAAAAUCAUUAAAGACGAGAACGUUAUGGGUCGUAAAUCGAUAAGCGCUACCAGUUUUUAGUAAUUCGAUAUCUGUAGAAAAAGCAUAGGUAUACUUCUAUGUUGGUUGUUGAAAAAAAACCUAUAUGACGUAAUGAGAAUUGUUUGAUUUUUAUCAGUUAACAAGUUGUUACAAACUUAUGCAAACAAUGAAUGACUAUAUUAGAUCGUCGCUUGUAAACAAUGAUCUGUCACAUGGUUGUGUACACAGUUUGAAAAGUGUGUUUAAUUGAAAAGUUAUGUAUUAUUCAUAAUUAGAAAUUACUGCGUUGACAAUUAAUAAGUUCUAUUUAAAUUUAUUCAUAAGAUGCUUACAUAUUUAUUUGUAUACAUAUCAAUGAAACAAUUCAUUAUGGAAUUUUAUAUUCGAUUAGAAGAACAUAUUUCUAUUUCUCAUUUAAUUUAAGGAUAUGUAUAUAAAGUAUUAUGAAAUCUUAACAGCCUUAGAUCAUAAAAAUACAUCAGAUUUUUAGUGCUUGUGUGAUGGAGACUAUUAAUUAUUUUAUAUUGGUAUUUAUUGACACAUGUUAUUAUUAACCAGAAAAAGCUUUAGUUCAGUUGUCUUAUUAUGAAAAUAGAUUAUUCCAACAUGUUCAAUAUAUAUUUGUUGCUAAUAAAAAUUAAAAAUUGCCUAUCAAAGACUUAGCACGGUUUAACCUCAAUUAUUAUUUUUAAAUGAGACUGGGGUACAUCAGAACUAAUUAACAUUUGGAUAUGAAAUUUAUAAUAAUAAAUGAUUUAUUAAUUAUUAAUAAAGUAUCUAUGAAAAUCUAGAUUUUAAUAAGAUCAUUAAAAAAAAUUUUCAGCAGAAAUUAGUUGUUAUAAAGCAAUAAUUAAAAAUCUUUUGACUUAAAAGAAAAUUGAAGUAUAGAUAUAUUAAUUAGUAUUAAAAAAAAUUACUGUAUUUUUUUUCUAUUAAUUAUUUUAUUAGAAUAUAUAAUAUUUCUAAUUUAAAUGAAAAAGACAUAAAUUAAUUUUUAUUGAUGGGGUCUCAAACUAAUUUUUUGGUAGAAGUAAGUAUACAAAAUCACUACCUUUUCUUUUUAUUAAAAAAACUGAUCAAAUUUUAAUCUUAGGUCAGGGCCGUAUACAUGGUACAGUAAUAGGAUCUGAGUUACUAGUAUGUCAAUUAUUUUAAGAGAAGUGUUAAUUUUGAAAUUUCCUUAAUAAAA